CUGGGAUGGAAUGCGUGAAUUUUACGCAUC
rnacentral:sRNA from 1 species